rnacentral:rRNA from 2 species
GUCUAAGUAUAAGCAAUUAUACCGUGAAACUGCGAAUGGCUCAUUAAAUCAGUUAUCGUUUAUUUGAUAAUACCUUACUACUUGGAUAACCGUGGUAAUUCUAGAGCUAAUACAUGCUGAAAAUCCCGACUUCGGAAGGGAUGUGUUUAUUAGAUAAAAAACCAAUGCCCUUCGGGGCUCCUUGGUGAUUCAUGAUAACUUUACGGAUCGCAUAGCCUUGCGCUGGCGACGGUUCAUUCAAAUUUCUGCCCUAUCAACUUUCGAUGGUAAGGUAUUGGCUUACCAUGGUUUCAACGGGUAACGGGGAAUUAGGGUUCGAUUCCGGAGAGGCAGCCUGAGAAACGGCUACCACAUCCAAGGAAGGCAGCAGGCGCGCAAAUUACCCAAUCCCGACACGGGGAGGUAGUGACAAUAAAUACUGAUACAGGGCUCUUUUGGGUCUUGUAAUUGGAAUGAGUACAAUUUAAACCUCUUAACGAGGAACAAUUGGAGGGCAAGUCUGGUGCCAGCAGCCGCGGUAAUUCCAGCUCCAAUAGCGUAUAUUAAAGUUGUUGCAGUUAAAAAGCUCGUAGUUGAAACUUGGGCCUGGCUGGCGGGUCCGCCUCACCGCGUGCACUCGUCCGGCCGGGCCUUCCUUCUGAAGAACCUCAUGCCCUUCACUGGGCGUGCUGGGGAAUCAGGACUUUUACUUUGAAAAAAUUAGAGUGUUCAAAGCAGGCCUUUGCUCGAAUACGUUAGCAUGGAAUAAUAAAAUAGGGCGUGCGUUUCUAUUUUGUUGGUUUCUAGAGACGCCGCAAUGAUUAACAGGAACAGUCGGGGGCAUCAGUAUUCAGUUGUCAGAGGUGAAAUUCUUGGAUUUACUGAAGACUAACUACUGCGAAAGCAUUUGCCAAGGAUGUUUUCAUUAAUCAGUGAACGAAAGUUAGGGGAUCGAAGACGAUCAGAUACCGUCGUAGUCUUAACCGUAAACUAUGCCGACUAGGGAUCGGGCGAUGUUCUUUUUCUGACUCGCUCGGCACCUUACGAGAAAUCAAAGUUUUUGGGUUCUGGGGGGAUUAUGUCGCAAG